rnacentral:rRNA from 1 species
AUUUUGGACAUUGGGGGAAACCCUGAUCCAGCAAUGCCGCGUGCAGGAUGAAGGUCUUCGGGUUGUAAACUGCUUUUGUACGGAACGAAAAGUCUUGGGCGAAUACCCUGGGAACAUGACGGUACCGUAAUGAUAUGCACCGGCUAACGACGUCCCAGCAACCGCUGUAAUACGUAGGGUUCAAGCGUUAAUCGGAAUUACUGGGCGUAAAGCGUGCGCAGGCGGUUUUGUAAGACAGUGGUGAAAUCCCCGGGCUCAACCUGGGAACUGCCAUUGUGACUACAAGGCUGGAGUGCGGCAGAGGGGGAUGGAAUUCCGCGUGUAGCAGUGAAAUGCGUAGAUAUGCGGAGGAACACCGAUGGCGAAGGCAAUCCCCUGGGCCUGCACUGACGCUCAUGCACGAAAGCGUGGGGAGCAAACAGG